rnacentral:rRNA from 1 species
CGCCCGGGAAAUACGAGCGCAAGCUUAAAACCCAAAGGAUUUGACGGUGUCCCACCCACCUAGAGGAGCCUGUUCUAUAAUCGACAAUCCACGAUUUACCUCACCAUUUUUUGCUCUCUCAGCCUGUAUACCUCCGUCGACAACUUAUCAUUUNAAUGUCAAAAAAUAAGUUUAGUGGUCUCACACACCAACACGUGGNGUCAAGGUGCAGCCUAUAAAAUGGAAAGCAAUGGGCUACAAUUUCUAAUAUAGAACAAACGAAAAACUACAUGAAACACAGUCAUGAAGGCGGAUUUAGAAGUAAAAGAAGAACAGAAAACUUCUUUUAACCUGGCUCUGGGACGUGUACAAACCGCCCGUCACCCUCUUCAACAGCCACCACCAAUUUACUAAUGCUUAACAGCACUAUAGAAGAGGCAAGUCGUAACAUGGUAAGUGUACUGGAAAGUGCACUUGGCUAA